AUUAUGCGACCAUACGUUUACUAACCACAACCGUAGCUGGUCGCGUACGCACCUAAAUAAUUAUCUGGAAAAGCCGUGACGUUAACUGAACAAAAUGUGAACAGUAAAUAUUUGGGCAGUUUACAAGAUAGCAUGGCGAAGUUAACACAAUUGUGGCAGUUAUAUAACGGAGCCUUUGGCGGAAUAUAAAGAAAAAAGAAAAUGUGGUCAUAUUCAAGCGUGGACAUCCCAGGACCCCGGAUGAGCCGCACAGAUCGAAUCAAAAUAUAUUUAUCCGAAUGUA
rnacentral:lncRNA from 1 species